rnacentral:rRNA from 1 species
GAUGAACGCUAGCGAUAGGCUUAACACAUGCAAGUCGAGGGGCAGCAUGGUCUUAGCUUGCUAAGACUGAUGGCGACCGGCGCACGGGUGCGUAACGCGUAUGCAACUUGCCUCACAGAGGGGGAUAACCCGUCGAAAGACGGACUAAUACCGCGUACACUCCAUCUUGGGCAUCCAAGGUAGAGGAAAUGAAAUUCGCUGUGAGAUAGGCAUGCGUCCCAUUAGCUAGUUGGUGAGGUAACGGCUCACCAAGGCGACGAUGGGUAGGGGAACUGAGAGGUUGAACCCCCACACUGGUACUGAGACACGGACCAGACUCCUACGGGAGGCAGCAGUGAGGAAUAGUGGUCAAUGGGCGAGAGCCUGAACCAGCCAAGUCGCGUGAAGGAUGACUGUCUUAUGGAUUGUAAACUUCUUUUAUACGGGAAUAACAAGAGUCACGUGUGACUCCCUGCAUGUACCGGAUGAAUAAGCAUCGGCUAACUCCGUG